rnacentral:rRNA from 1 species
GACGAACGCUGGCGGCGUGCUUAACACAUGCAAGUCGAACGGAAAGGCCCUGCUUUUGUGGGGUGCUCGAGUGGCGAACGGGUGAGUAACACGUGAGUAACCUGCCCUUGACUUUGGGAUAACUUCAGGAAACUGGGGCUAAUACCGGAUAGGAGCUCCUGCUGCAUGGUGGGGGUUGGAAAGUUUCGGCGGUUGGGGAUGGACUCGCGGCUUAUCAGCUUGUUGGUGGGGUAGUGGCUUACCAAGGCUUUGACGGGUAGCCGGCCUGAGAGGGUGACCGGCAACAUUGGGACUGAGAUACGGCCCAGCCUGCUACGGGAGGGAGCAGUGGGGAAUAUUGCACAAUGGGCGGAAGCCUGAUGCAGCAACGCCGCGUGCGGGAUGACGGCCUUCGGGUUGUAAACCGCUUUCGCCUGUGACGAAGCGUGAGUGACGGUAAUGGGUAAAGAAGCACCGGCUAACUACGUG